ACAGACCCACAAAAGUUCAAGUUUGGUGUAAAGUGUUGAUAAAUGUGGUUCGAUGACUUAAAAGUGCCGUACAUGUUAGCAGCCAGAAGAUUAUUGUUAAAUGAAGCAAGAUAUUAUCCGUAACACAAGAGGAUUUGAUGCCGCCAGGGAAUAAGGAUUGACCCUCCAGUGCAGCAGACACAGUACCAAAUGGAGAAUAAGAAGGCGGCGCCGGCGACGCAGCAGCCGAUCAGCCAGCAGCACCUGAUGGCGCACCACGUGCACCCCGACCAGAUCUACUCGCCGCAGCCGCCGGCGCAGGUGCACCACGCGCCCGCGCAGCCCGCCGCCGCGCCGCCCAACGGCGUCAUGCACCACCUCAUACAGAGCCAAUACCACUCCAACACCACCGCUCGCUCCCCGCUCCUCGAGAACAGGCACGACGUCUACAGCACAGGCUACACCCAAGAUUACGCGCGGCACUACGGCGCCAACGACAACUACAACUACCCUCAGUCCCCGCCGAGAGACCUGUACAUGGACCACAACGUCAACCAUGAGCUGCUUCACAACAUGCCUAAAGGUUAUAACGCGGAAGUCUACCAAGACUACUUAAAACGCAACCCACCGAAAGAUACCAACCAAAUAUACCAAAAUCAUCAACCCAUGUAUAUGCCUAAUAUGAAUCAGUAUGGUUCGAAGCCAUAUUUACCGUACUCUAAUAGAAUAGGUCCACAGAGCAACACAGAGUUACUGAGGCGGCAGUACAACGAAAUUCAGCAGAUGAAGCUCCAACAGCAGAUGCACUACCAGAACCAGGCUCAGAUGCAGCAGCAACAGAAGUUCGCGGAGAGGCAGCUGCUGCUUCAACAGAUACAUGGAGUCCAGCCACCGCCCAACCUGCAGAAUAGUAUUUACUCUGACGGUUCCUAUCGAGACUUAGAUCAAUAUAGUAGCAAAAAUGAUUUCAAAGAAUAUAGUAGUACUGAUAUACAAAAAGAUAUCGAUAGAUAUGCCAAAAAUAAUGAAUAUAAGGAUACGGAAAAACAAACUAGACAAUAUCAAGAAUCGCAGUGGCCAUCUAACCAACAGACUGAAAUGAGGGAUAUCGAACGAUAUAGGAAACAGUCGGAAGGAGAUAAAGGAAAAUGUCAGUCACCGCCUGAGUUUAAUAACCAGAGUCCAAAAAAUAAUGUCGGCGUAGUGUCGCCGAUGAAGUCUAGCGAGUCGAGUUCACCGAGCGUGAAGUCCCCGUCGUCGGACAGUCGGCGGAGCAGCGGCGGCAACCAGGCGCUGCGCUCACCCAUAGCGCAGAGGGUUCCUUCAGCCCCCGUCACCCUGGCCGGCAUUCUGUACAAGCAAGGUUCCGAUGGACUAAAAGUAUGGAGGAAAAGAUGGUUUGUGCUCUCGGAGUACUGCUUGUUUUAUUAUAAAAGUCAAGACGAAGAAAAACUGUUAGGAUCCGUGUUGUUGCCUUCGUACAAAGUGUCAGCGUGCAGUGCCGAGGAUAAAGUGCUGCGGAAGUUCGCUUUUAAACUGGAGCACGCAAAUAUGCGGACAUACGUGCUGGCGGCGCCCGACCAGGAUGCCAUGAUGAAGUGGGUGAAGGCGCUGACGAUGGCGGCGCUCAUGCAGAGCUCCAAUGAGCAGCCACAAAAGCAGAGUGAGCGGGCAGCUGCAAAAACCGAGGACGGAGAUGAAGUACCCGGGCCUACGUACGCCAAUGCCCCUCCUAAACCGCGUCGAUCCAAUGAAGGCUAUAAUUCACCUAGCCCUGACAUGUACGAUCCAAACUACGAUCUACUCAAAAAGCCCGCCUCACACUACAGUCAAGGCACUAGUCAUAUGCGCCACCAGGACCACACAAACUAUCAAACUAGUCCCAACCAAGAGAGCACGUACUCUUGUAGCCCGCAGUCGCCACCACCACCGGCACAACAACAACAACCUCAGUACCAGACGAAACGAUCCUAUGACACGCAUCACCUCUCUCUACCAUUGACAAACACAAUAACGGACAGAAUAGAACAUCAAAAUCCAAGUACGUCGUCCUUGUACAGGUCUAAUCCUCAGUCACCUUACUUUGAUAAUAGGAAUAGAGGUCAACAGCAAUCACAAGCCCCACAAGAGAAUAAUCAAGAACAGAUAUACGAGAGGCAAGUGAGUCGCAAUCCUUUCUUGCAAGAUUUGACACCACAAGGAGAGACACCAUCUAAAGAGAGCGAACGAACGAAAUUGGAAGAAGAACGAGCGAAAGCACUCUUCAAUGAUUGUUUUGGAGAAUCUCGAGCAAAUGCCAAAUCAAAUGUAGACAUAAAUUCAUACAAUAGAGAAGUGUAUGGAGAACUAAAUACGAGAUCGAACAGAGCUGGCAGUUCAAUUAACGAAAGAUUACUCAUCGAAAGAAGAACUCCUGACGCUUACGGUCGAUCUACGACAAUGUCAGCCUAUAAUAAUAAAGGUAAAGCAGGAGAUUAUGAGGACGUAUACGCAUCAUAUGCUACCGAAAGUGAAUACGGAAAGACGUAUGCACAAUCUCCACCGGACCAGAGACAAACCAGAGACGCUACUAGUAUAUCCAGUCAACAGCAGCCACAAGAUUACGCAGGAAACUACUCUCAAGAGAAAACUUUCAGCGGUCCAUCGGUCUUGAGAAGGAAAAAGAUGCAGUCGAGUGGUAUUCAGCCCCCGAUGCCGAGACCUCACAGCGCCGAUUUCUUGGAGUAUGAGUCUAAAAAUGAGAUGUUGAAUAAGACCAUGCCACCUAGAACAGUUUGCGACCCUCCCAGACAGCCUCAGCGACCGAAAUCUAGUCUUGAUAUUAAUUCGUACUACGAUCCAAGUUCAGACAGAUACUACUCCGAGGAAAGUUACGCAGAAAAAAUGCGUCAGUCAGCCCAGUACCUGCAGCAUGGGAUGAGUCCACGAAAUAUUCAAAUACCUUUGGCAAAGUAUGCUAGUGGAUUAGCUGAAAAGCAAUUGAAUUCACCAUACUCUCAGAUUGCCAAUAACAAUUAUGAGACUGAAUUUGGUAUAACUCGUACAAACCGCGACAAUCUCAGCUAUAAUUCAAAGUAUAGUGACCUGGAGGGUUUGAACUCAAAUUGGACACUGAAAGAGAAAGAAAAUCAAAAGGACUACUUGAACAGGAGUGGUAGCGUCAUGAGCGACAAUUCUAACGCAGGCGGAUUUGCCAAAGAUCUUAGUCGAUUUGAAUCUCCCGCUGAUGGGUUUAUUAGAUCUGCUAGUGCUAGGUUGCCGUCUACAACGACAGAGAAAGAAGGCGAAAAGAAAGUCCAACAGCGGGAGGAGUCAAUGAAGAGGUUGUUAGAGUGGAAGCAAAGGAUGCUUCAGUCGCCGCUGACGAGGAAGAGUACUCCCGCGGCAAUAUCGCUGGCUCGCUCUUUGAACCAAAGUCGACAAUCGCUGAGAUCAGAUCAGUACAAGCCGAAAACGUAUACGAACGCCUCGUACAACAGCUAUUCUUCUGAUGACGAAGCAUCAAUGACGAUGUCAGGCACAAACGUAGAAUUAGGCACAAAUAACACAGCAAAUCAACAAACAUUGUCAAAGAAAGCUUUUCUCGGAAGUAACACCUCUAUUGGAAGAAAUAACAGGGAUGCGAACAUACCUGUGCGGGCUGUUAGCCCGAGGGUCAGAUGGGUUGAGGAGAAAUCACAAAAUGAUCAUUACGGGUCACAGCAGAUGUCUACAUCUCAGCAAAAUUUGAAUACAUUGACACCGAACGAGGAUUCAUGGGCAACAGUCAGGUCUCCGUCAAGAGCCCAGCAGCCAAUAAGGGCUGUCAGUCCUAGAGUCCGAAAGAACACCGAAAACGACGAUUUGCAAAGGGAUCAACAAUCGGGUCAGGGAGAGUUAGCCGAGAUACCGACGGCCGGGGAGCUUCUGGGGCGGACUCAUGAGGAGCUGGUGCUCCUCCUGAUUCAGUUGAGGAGGCGUCACGCGGCCACUCACCGAGCUAUCGAACAAUGCUGUUCCCAAAUCAGUAGUAUAGAGGACUGUCUCAGUUCUCUCAAGGCUAUGCAACGCGAAGAAAGUUUACAACGCUUGGAGCAGUUGAAGAUGCAGCUGAUAGAAUUGGAGCAUCAGUAUGAAAAGAGCAAACCUCUGGUGCAGUUGGUGGAUAACAUGGUGAAACUUGGGUCGCUGUACAAUAGGCCCGGAUCGACCGUGGAGCGAUUGGAGAGAAACCAGAGGCUCCGGCACAAGGUGCUCGCUGAGCAUGCUAUGGAACAACAGAGAUGGUUGGAAAGUGCGGCAGCCGGUAGACCUUUGGAAACUGAGGCAGCCAGGGCAAGAGUGGCUGAGCUUUGGGCAUUGGAGCAAGAAUUGGCUGAUGAGGCGUCCAUACUACAAGGACUGAAGACCGAUAAGGAUACGAUCGAAUCGCUUCUCACUGGAGUGCGUGGGAAGUUGGACAGCGUACCACGAGGCAGUGUGUCAGACUUGACAGCAAGCAACUUGACUACUCAAAUGGCUGGUCAAAUGGCUAGUCAAAUGGACAGUCCAAUGUCUGCACAAAUGCCUAUAGGAGCACCUAGCAUCAACUCCGGAGGGUUGGAGGCAGAACUAGCCAGAGUGCACGCUAUGCUCGCGCACAAUUCUAAGGUUUAUAAGAAAUUGGAGCAAACUGUGGCGGACAACGCUCGGUUGGAGCGUGAGUUGCAGCAACUGCGCCGCGCGUUGCAGGCGCGCCGCGCAGCCGCGCCACAUCCACCACAUGCCACGCAUCCCACCGCCAUGCUUGAAGAUGAAGUGACGCGAGUGCAGCAACUGGUGACGGCACUGCAGCGUCAGCGACAGGAGCUCAGUCGCGCUGUGCGACACCUCACGCAACAGUCGCACGCCUUGCAGUCUACACACGACACCCUGCCCGGAAAACGUAGACCAACUUCGUCAUGGCAGGAAACGAACCUGGAUACGGGUUUGACUAUAGAUCAUGGGCACUCAGAGUACUACGAGAUGCCUGGGCAGGUGCUUCCGCCGGGCCACUACAAUAACAUGGAGACUCCACUGUACGUCGACACCAGGGUCACCAGCACCGACAUCACAUCGCCCAUCACCAGCGAAGAUAUGCAACACAGCAGUUUUGCGAACCUGUCGAACGUGGAGAAGCAGGAGAUCAAAACUGUCCGCAUCGUCAAGCGCGAGAGCGAGCGUCGACAGCGGGACAGGGAACGUUCCCUUCAGCCCAUGUCGGACUGGCCUGCCAACAACAUCACCGCCAACCUCGACCACUUCCUCGAGGAAGAACUCGUGCAGUCCAACAACUACUCCAGGUCCGCUUCUUUACCGCGCACGGACUUCAGCAAAUUCGAGGAAUACUACUCCAAGCCCCAACCUCCCGAGCCGCCGAAUUAUCUGCGCCUCAAUGACAAGAACAUGGAACUGAGUCCGAAAUACCCAUCGAGUCCUUCGCUGUCCAACUAUGACUACUCACGGGAUAUCUCUUCAUUGAGCAGCAGCUACAAUAAGAGCUACGACAGGUCCGGAUAUGACAGGACGAUUUCAUUGUCGACUCAGUAUUUGAAUAGCCCGACCGACAGCGCUAAGACUUUGACGAACGACCCGCUGUCGAAGACUAGUAGCGUGGUGAGUCUGACUCGCUCACAUAUGGAGUUGUCUCCUAUAUUCAAGAGCGAGGCAGCAAAGCAGAUCAUCACGGAGAUGUCCGGGGACGGACCGAAGACGGGGUCGCUGCACCGGCGGCAGGUGCCGAAGGAGAAGCGACGACACUACACUGCCCCGCACCACCUUAGUGCGAAGACGCUCAAUGAAAUGCCCAAGGAUGCUUACAAUCAGGACAAGAUGGGUAGAUCGUUGGACGAUGCGGAUAUGGAGCGUGCGCUGCGGUCCGCGCCUGCGCCGGACGUGGUUAGGUCUGCGUUGCCCACACGCUACGCUGACUCUAUCGACCAGCUGCUAGCCGCGCCACAGAAGAUCCUCAUUCCGGAACGAUAUAUCCCAGAAAAGCCUCCAGAACUAUCGCCGGAGGAGCAACAAAAGCGUCAGGAAAAGGUCGAGUCUAUCAAGAAAAUGCUCACCAGUUCUUCAGCUGAUCCCAGCAAGAGUCCGGAUGGGGAAGAGAAGCGGCAGCGCGAACACUUGCUGCAGAUGAACCAGAUCCUCGCCAAGCAGGUCACCGAAAUGAGCAAAAUCAUCGCUGGAACCAACACUGACCAAGGGCCGUCCACCAACUGAUUGGCCAUUCACUUACAUUAGCACCACCCGCACCGACCCCCUAUAACUCAGUCUAAUAUACACCCCUCCAAUGUUACCGCUAGAUGUAGCUCUGCUCCCAAAACCUCCAAAUUCAACGGCAUUUUGAAACUUUCAAUCCUUACCUUUAAAAUACCUUUGUAAGUAAAUCGGCUAGCACGAGACGGUCCUUUAGAAGACAUCUGGUAUCCAGUGUUGCAGCAUGGUUUCGUUUUUGCAUUUUGUUUGAAAGCGUUGGAAGAGCUGCCACUACAGGACGGGAACGGUGAUCUGGACGACCGCUCGCCCGACGUCGAGUUGCCGAUAUACCAGCAAAGAGAUAAUUUCUUUUCAUAAACUCUGUCUUGACUAAGCAACAGAUCCACACCACAACAAAUAAUGGUUCUUAAUGGUAAAGGAUACGAUUUUUCAAGGCAAUGAUUUCAAUUGAAUUUGAGGUAUAUUUCCUAUACUAUGUUACUGUGGUUUUCGUCAUCGAAUAAAUGUAACAUUUCUAGAUUGUUAGCACAAAUUAGUGGCUAACACAAUACCUUUCUUUGGCAAUGUUUAAAACCUAUCUAUUGAUAGCGGAAUAUACGUAUAAAGAUAAAACUUUCUGGGCUUUAAAGUAUUGUUAACUAUAUAAAAGUAGAAAGUUCAAUUAAUAGAGUAACGGUUUUUAAUCUAUACUAAACUUUAUAGGUGAAUUUGUAUGUACCUAAUAGAGUGUCUAUUAUUUAUUUGGGAUCAGUAUAUUAUAAAGAUCCGUUUAGAUAUUGCCAAAAUUAAUCCAAAAAGUAAUGAAUUAGUUCUUUGUACUGCAAUUGAUAUUUUAGUAAAGUUUUAUGUUGAAAGUCAAUUAACUUGGCACCACUAGUUGCCUUUCUGAUCAAUUACUAUGAUGUUGAUUGGUGCACCGUCUAAAGACUCCCAGUUCGUACCUCAAGUACAUAUAUCCUACGUACGGUAGAGGAGACUUGGCCAAGCUGCAAAUGAUUACGAAAAAACGCCUGUUAUACGAUUAAAAUAUGUGGGAUUGAUGUCACCAAAAGGUAUAAGGGGGAUACACACCUACAUAAUUUUCCUUAUUUUGUAAUUAAAAAGUGCUAGUAAAAGUAAAGGAAAGAAAUCAAAUAUUAAGGAGUUAUUCAGGACAGAUGAGGCAAGACGAUUGGAUACUUAAUAUGACACGACGAAUGUAUUAAAAACAUUAUAGAAGGGAAGAUAGAAGACCAAGAAGAGCUUACAGAGAAGGCGAACGUCGUGUCUUAUAAGGACGUUAAAUAAUUGGCCCUUGAUAGACAAAAAUGGAGAGUGCUACAACCGACAAGAGUGUGGCUCCUAAAUUCAUGAUGAUGAUAUUUUUCGUAUCGCUGGCAACUUGGCUACGGACCCUGUAUUAUCCAUGCUUUGCUUCGCACAUAUCUUAUAUACCAUAUCUAUAGCGUAUGUAAUGUUCGUGUGCUUUACACUUACCUAUAUCAAUAGAGGUUUGAUAGUUUCCUUAGCGUUUGCUCAAUUUUAUCAACAUUCCCUCAAUAAUACAACUAGGAAUAUUGUAGUUAUUUCACAUUUUAUACGAAAAGCGACUGCGGCAUAUUUUAGGCCAGUUUACUUAAUAAAUGAACAAUGAAGAAAUCUUUUCGUAACCACUAAUAUAUAAUGUCUUCUAUAUAAAGGGCCUUGAAUUGUUAUUUUAGAUGUAAGGUACGUGGCGACUACGCAAUAUAUAGUAAAAUUUAUUUAGAUGUGUUUUAAGACGAUGCCAUGUUAAUAAAUUUUAGUCCAUAGUAAAAGCACAUUUAAUUAGAUGUUUUAUCGUCUAUUUUUAUUGUACUUUUCUUAGUUUAACAAAACGAAUGUCAAUGCGUUUUAGUAUUAUUUCGUUUAAAUUACUGUGUAUUUUUGGUGUAUAUUACUUUACGUUAUAAUCUGUUCAGUAAGUACCUUAUUUUGAACAAUUACUUUGUAAUUUAACUUUGUUUAUUAGGUAACAUUAUAUUAUAAGUUGAUCAUGAUAUCAGAGCGCCCUGUGACAAAAUCGAACAAUGAGUACAACAUGAGAAUUUGAAAAACAAGUCUUCGAUUAUGCCAUCGUGUGCGGUUAUACAUAGCCUUACGUGCACAUUAUUAUGUAGUUUGUCAAUUUUAGGUAGGAACCUUAUAAACUUAGAACUUCUUAUGAAUAUUAACAAAAUAUUUAUUAACAUAAAUGUGUGUAACCUUGACUGUCUCCCGUCAUAACUCAAGCAACGAGUCUGUAGUAUUUGUGAUUUGAUAUACUUACUUGUUAUGUACACACUCACCGAUUAAUUCUUAUUUUGUAAUAAAAUAUUACCCAUCCUAUCGCUCAUGA
rnacentral:misc_RNA from 1 species